UUGUGCUUCAGGACUUCUCCUCCUCCUGCGUGCAGUCUGAAUAUGGCUGCCACCGCCGCUGACUUGGGAGGCUUGUGCUCUGUGCCUCUCAGGCCAAGGGAGCCAGAGCUGCGCCCAAAUGCUAGUGGGAGGGGGGAAGGGUUCAGGAAGGGGGGGGGUCUGUUCGCGGCCUCACGCCUCCCUCGCUCCUGCUGCCUGUCCUGCCCGAGCCGGCGACAUCGGCCGGAGGUGGACGGUGCCCGGGACGCAGAAGAUGGCCGGACAAGCAGAAGGAGUAAAGCGCUGUGCCUUUUUUUUUCCUUCACCCGGUUUUUGCUCCCGUUCUGUGUUUUUUUUUGUUUGGCAUGGAGCAGGAGCCUCUUCCCGAGUGGAGUUGCUACGUCACAUCUCGCCAUGCCUCCGAACCAAUUGAAAAAUCAAGCGAUUCGAGGAACAUUAUAUACAUUCAAUCAGAGAAAAAAAACAACAACAUGAAGGACACAUAAGGAAGAAAUCCCAGACGUCCCUGCUAGGCUUUCGUAGAAGUAGGUAUUUAGAAGGCUCCUCUCUUGCUCCAGUGACAUCAGCUGGGCCCAGUACCCCCAGGCCCGAGGUGCCCAGUCCACUUGAACAUCAUGGUGGUCAUCCCUUGCAGAGCUGCUCUCUGUAAUAUGGUUUGGAGAGUCACUGCUGCCAGUGUGGUGUUGUGAUGGACACUGUGGCAGACGAGAGGCCCAAGGAGCGGGCAGGGGGACCACCGCUUCAUUUUUGAGAAGAGAAUGGAAAAUGCUGGAGUGGUCCAACAAGCCGAGAGCACUUUCCCCUCUGUAAUGUGCUUCCUCGUCCAGCAGCUCUGCAUCAUGGAAAAUGGCUCUUUGGCUUAGAACUUUGCAGAGGUGCCCGUGCCUGAAACGACAUCGUCCCAUCCAUGUCCAGUGCAGGACGGUCCUUCCAAGUCCCCAGAAACAUGUCUGUUUGAGUUCCUAAACUGAAAUAGCUCUCGGGAUCGGAUUUACGCACGGCUCCCGUGUUCCCACCCGGCCACAAAGCUAGGACCGAGCGCCUGCCACUGGCGGCAAGGCCCCAAGAGUAAGAUCCGUCAGCCAUCUUCCUGGCCUGAUGCCCCCAAUGCAGAAAGAGCCUUUCUAGACUGGCGCUGUAUCAGGGAAAACUCCUGAGCUGUUUCGUCUCUGCCAGGAGCCAUUUACUGUCUGACAUGGGCAAUGGUCUAUAGUCGGAUAAUUAUUAUGAAAUCGGAUGUUUUAUUAUUUUUGUUGUGGAUGUUGACAAUAGAAAGGGAGCUGGACUUAAUGUCAGUGGGGCAGAUUUGGAUACUACCUCUGAGUGCACGUUUCCCGGCUGGACCAUAUCCCGGUCACACUGAAAGCCUGAGCUUAAUACAGCAGGCCAGCCGAGUGUCACGUUGCAGACUCACUACCUUGAGCCCCGCCGUUUCUCCCUGCUGGGACUCUGCUGUGUGUCUCUACACAAAUUAGCGUUUUUCAAGCCUUGCAUCCAGUGGUAUCGGAAGGAGUUUGACAUUGGGGGACCCCCCCCCGUCCCACCUAUUUCCGACACCCCUACUGGUAUCUCUAUGGUACUUGAGUAACUCUUUCGAGUCUAGUGCAUGGUACUCAUGUGGCUCCCUCUAAACGCUGCUCAAGCACUGUGGCCUGUGGGAGGUGCUAUAUCAGAUCAGUUCCCAGGGUCUCAUGGGCCUGACUUCUGCUGCAGGGGAAGCCCGUUCAGCCUGGCUGCCGCUCACACUCUUCGUCGGCUCACGUGCUACAGGCACGUAACAUCUGGGUAACAUCUGAACCAGGUUGCACUGCCAGGGGCACAGGGAGUGGCGACACCGGCAUCAGGAGAAUGCAUGCCUCGAGCAGGAGCAAGAGGAGCAGACGGGGCUCCUGACUCAGGUCCAUGGGCAGAGGGCAACCCCCUUCUUUAUUAAAAUUUCAGGACAUUUAUUAAACCCAAGACACAACAUGGCAGCAGCACUGCACACCUUCCAGCACCCUGACACCAGACUGUCACGUGAUCCCAUUAUCUAAAAAUAUAUUUACAGUGUGUUUGCUCUGUUUAGUACCAUACAAUGGAUCUCAUUAUCAUUUAACUUACUAUAACAUUAAUUUCUCUCUGUGUGCAACCAGUUUUUUAAAUAUAAAGCUUUCUGCAAAG